CCAGACUCCUACGGGAGGCAGCAGUGGGGAAUAUUGCACAAUGGGCGCAAGCCUGAUGCAGCCAUGCCGCGUGUGUGAAGAAGGCCUUCGGGUUGUAAAGCACUUUCAGUCGUGAGGAAGGUAGUGUAGUUAAUAGCUGCAUUAUUUGACGUUAGCGACAGAAGAAGCACCGGCUAACUCCGUGCCAGCAGCCGCGGUAAUACGGAGGGUGCGAGCGUUAAUCGGAAUUACUGGGCGUAAAGCGCAUGCAGGUGGUUUGUUAAGUCAGAUGUGAAAGCCCGGGGCUCAACCUCGGAAUUGCAUUUGAAACUGGCAGACUAGAGUACUGUAGAGGGGGGUAGAAUUUCAGGUGUAGCGGUGAAAUGCGUAGAGAUYUGAAGGAAUACCGGUGGCGAAGGCGGCCCCCUGGACAGAUACUGACACUCAGAUGCGAAAGCGUGGGGAGCAAACAGGAUUAGAUACCCUGGUAGUCCACGCCGUAAACGAUGUCUACUUGGAGGUUGUGGCCUUGAGCCGUGGCUUUCGGAGCUAACGCGUUAAGUAGACCGCCUGGGGAGUACGGUCGCAAGAUUAAAACUCAAAUGAAUUGACGGGGGCCCGCACAAGCGGUGGAGCAUGUGGUUUAAUUCGAUGCAACG
rnacentral:rRNA from 1 species